rnacentral:rRNA from 1 species
AGAGUUUGAUCCUGGCUCAGGACGAACGCUGGCGGCGUGCUUAACACAUGCAAGUCGAACGUAAAGGCCCUGCUUGCAGGGUACUCGAGUGGCGAACGGGUGAGUAACACGUGGGUGAUCUGCCCUGCACUUCGGGAUAAGCCUGGGAAACUGGGUCUAAUACCGGAUAGGAGCCAUUUUUAGUGUGAUGGUUGGAAAGUUUUUUCGGUGUAGGAUGAGCUCGCGGCCUAUCAGCUUGUUGGUGGGGUAAUGGCCUACCAAGGCGGCGACGGGUAGCCGGCCUGAGAGGGUGGACGGCCACAUUGGGACUGAGAUACGGCCCAGACUCCUACGGGAGGCAGCAGUGGGGAAUAUUGCACAAUGGGCGCAAGCCUGAUGCAGCGACGCCGCGUGGGGGAUGACGGCCUUCGGGUUGUAAACUCCUUUCGCUAGGGACGAAGCUUUUGUGACGGUACCUAGAUAAGAAGCACCGGCUAACUACGUGCCAGCAGCCGCGGUAAUACGUAGGGUGCGAGCGUUGUCCGGAAUUACUGGGCGUAAAGGGCUCGUAGGUGGUUUGUCGCGUCGUCUGUGAAAUUCCGGGGCUUAACUCCGGGCGUGCAGGCGAUACGGGCAUAACUUGAGUACUGUAGGGGUAACUGGAAUUCCUGGUGUAGCGGUGAAAUGCGCAGAUAUCAGGAGGAACACCGAUGGCGAAGGCAGGUUACUGGGCAGUUACUGACGCUGAGGAGCGAAAGCAUGGGUAGCGAACAGGAUUAGAUACCCUGGUAGUCCAUGCCGUAAACGGUGGGCGCUAGGGUGAGGGUCUUUUCACGACUUUCGUGCCGUAGCUAACGCAUUAAGCGCCCCGCCUGGGGAGUACGGCCGCAAGGCUAAAACUCAAAAGGAAUGACGG